CUAUCACCGGCCGCAGCGAUGUCCCGCCUCUGCCGAUGAUAGGCUGAGCCGACUGUCAUGUAAGAAGCCGGCCGGUGAGCGAGAACAGCGGAGGACAGCGAGGCCGCUUCCUUAGCAACGGGGGAAUGGAGGACGAAGUGUAAAAACCUCAGUGACUGGCUGCAGUGGGUUCAGGACAUCAACAUGGUAUGCAUAGGACCAAGGUGGACUAGAGCACCGCCACUGAAUCAGGCAAGAAACUACCAAAUCCAGUACAGACUGAGGAUCAUCCCAGGAGUCAAUCUCAGUUAGGUCAUAGAGAUAGCAGCUUAUGGGGCCGAAUGUCCACUGUAGUUGUCUUCUCUUCUGGACUAUGUGCUGAAACAUCUGGGA